GACAUUUCCAGGCCGAGAAACAUGUUGCGCAGCAAGAACCAUCCGAAGGCGAUGUUUCGCGAGAUUUUCAGUACGAAUUCGAUGGUACCCAGGAAGUGAUGAUGAUUGUAGACAUGCCCCAAAAGUACCGGAUGCGAUGCGAUCAUGGGAGAAAUAAACGGUUACUGUUUAGUACAUUCAUCCAGGCUACCGAUUCAUCAAAAAAUAAUCUGGUCACCCUACUGUGAACUGCUGUAAACAGCUCAAACGCUACUCCCACUGAAUUCCGUGAAGUAAAGUCGCGAUCGCAAGACGAAAAAACCGAGCGAAUACCAUACAUCCCACCGUCGGAAACACCCAACGUGAAGCUGCCACAUCGGAGGACAAUAGCAAGCAACCACCCUGUGACAUGGAUCGACACGAAAACCUGGAGAAACAACGCCUUGAAUACCAACGUCACUUGAAAGCCAACCGCCUGAUGAACAUGGCAAACCUCCGAAAAACCCAAAGUGUCCAACGAACACUUGGCAAUGCCCGCAACCAGUAAAGCCAGUGGUCGUCAGAUGAACAUUCGGACUGCUCCAUAUACUGAACCUAUCACCAAUGUGUUCCCCACAACGCGCAUAGAGUGAGCAAAAUUUCGUCAGCAAAUCGCCAGCUGCCCAGCAAAUCGGAACACUCUCGGAUGAUGGACAAUCGGCAGCACAUGGAUAUCCACAGUUCAAGGGCGGUUUCGCAAUAGAAAGUCCCUAUUAUGGACCACCUUGGUAAAGACUCAGGGUGGCCAUUGAACCAGGAAACAUACGGGAAAUUUAAGUCAUCGGCAAAAAAAGCGGAAAGACCCGGAAAUUUCAUGCCGGGAAAAAUAAAUUCUCGUUAAGUAAGAUUCGAAAUUCUUCAACGUUUGUAAUGAAGUUCAACUUAAUGAGAAAAUGUUUUAUUCUUUAAUGCUCAUUCCUCAGGCGCAUUCAAAAUGAAUUAUUUGAUUUUAGUACAUGGUAUUUGUGAGGUACAAAAAUUAAAUAGAUCUUCCUCAGAUCCAUUUUGAGUUCUUCUUCUUCUUAUUGGCAUUACAUCCCCACACUGGGACAGAGCCGCCUCGCAGCUUAGUGUUCAUUGAGCACUUCCACAGUUAUUAACUGCGAGGUUUCUAAGCCAGGUUACCAUUUUUGCAUUCGUAUAUCAUGAGGCUAACACGAUGACACUUUUAUGCCCAGGGAAGUCGAGAUAAUUUCCAAUCCGAGAAUUAUGUGCUAAUG